UAAUUUUAUCUUUGUGUGAAUCAUGUCCUACUCAUCCCAUUUCUUUUUGAAUCACCACCCUCACAAUGAUCGAGAGUUUCUGUUGAAGGUCCUAUUGUCGUCAAAGGCCCUACCGUCGACAAAGGCUCUACCACCAACGAAGGCCCUUGGACUGUAAGAUUUUCUCACUGAAGGUUCAUUUGUUCGACGAUCAGGAGACACCUAAGUGAUCCUGGCGUCAAGGGCUUCCUGUUUCAUUAUUUGGUUCAGCGUUUAGAACUGGUGUUCUUAGGAUUUCUGGAGGUGUAAGCAAAUCUCUGAAGGUUGUAGCAGCUGUCCGGUUCAGUUAGAGAGAGAGGUGAGUGUUCGCUGGAGCAAGCACUGGAUGACGAGGACCCAAUGGUGUAGUAUAUGACCGUUCGGUUAAAUAAAUAUAGUAUGUAUAGACCGUUUGGUCAUGUAUAUAGUUUUGCAUCUAGGAUAGACUUUUGUAAAGUUUAAAUUUAUAGUUAUUUUAUGGAUAACUGUAAGUUAACUUUAUUUCUAGAAACUGUUCUACAAUAUUAUGAUGUGAUGACUCUUAGACAUAUAGUUUGGACUAUAUUUUUGGGAUGUUAUAAAUAUAUUUUAACCA